CUCAGAAACUCAAAGGAAUUGACGGGGCCCGCACAAGCGGUGGAGCAUGUGGUUUAAUUCGAUGAUACGCGAGGAACCUUACCUGGGCUCAAAUGCAUGUUGACGUAUUCUGAAAGGGAUACUUCUUCGGACAAUAUACAAGGUGCUGCAUGGUUGUCGUCAGCUCGUGCCGUGAGGUGUCGGGUUAAGUCCCAUAACGAGCGCAACCCUUGUGUUUAGUUGCAAACAGGUCAAGCUGUGCACUCUAGACAGACUGCCGUGGACAACACGGAGGAAGGUGGGGAUGACGUCAAAUCAUCAUGCCCCUUAUGAUCUGGGCUACACACGUGCUACAAUGGCCGGUACAACGGGCAGCGAAGGAGCGAUCCGGAGCGAAUCCUAAAAAGCCGGUCCCAGUUCGGAUUGCAGGCUGAAACUCGCCUACAUGAAGUUGGAGUUGCUAGUAAUCGCGAAUCAGAAUGUCGCGGUGAAUGCGUUCCCGGGUCUU
rnacentral:rRNA from 1 species